rnacentral:tRNA from 1 species
GCGGGAAUAAUUCAAUAGGUAGAAUGUCAGCCUUCCAAGUUGAUUGCUACGGGUUCGAGUCCCGUUUCCCGCU